CAGUUCCCAGUUAGUAUAGUGGUUAGUAUCCGCGCCUGUCACGUGCGAGACCCGGGUUCGAUUCCCGGACUGGGAGGCUCA
rnacentral:tRNA from 1 species